CUGACUGCUGGUUCAAGAUUUUGGAUUGCAUUUUGAGCUAUAGUAAAGAUGGCGCCUCCUAGCAAACGGUCCAGGGCGGCCAAGAAGAGAGAGGCUGACUUGAGGUCUACUGAGGUGCCGAGCAAGAGGUCCCCGGUGGCAGACACACAGGUUGACUUGGUCUCCUGUGACAAGGUUGGGCGUCCUUGUAUAAAAAAAGCCCAAACACUUUCUGAAAACAUGCCAAAUAACAUGCCACAUGACGUGCCACAUGACGUGCCA